UGGGGCUAUCCCUGAAUGGGGUGGCUAUUGAUAUGAAGAAGGCUCCCCAUAGUGUAGUUAGGACCACAUAUUUUGGAGGGAUAGUUAGAAGAGAUGCAUUGGAAGAUAGGAUCAAAGAAUUAUUGUCUAAUUCUUUUUCCAAUGGCAUCCGAUCAAUGGUGCAAUUGCUUGUUUCAUACCUUUUGGAUACAAUUUUGUCUCCUUUGUUGAAUCUUAGCAUUGCAUUGUAGAUCUUC
rnacentral:lncRNA from 1 species